rnacentral:lncRNA from 1 species
ACUCUCUGCUGAUAUGACUGACCAUGACACAUGGCAGUUGAUCUCUUCCUUUCGAUCGAAUUCAGCAUCAGUCAACUUGGGACUUUGAGGGUGCUAUUUCUCUUUUGUUUCUUUUUUUCUUUUGAUUUUGCUUUUGAGUUUGCUUUCUUUUGAUCUCUUUGAUUUCUUUGAUUUUGCACCCUCUCUUUCUUUGUUUUUUUUUUUGAUUGAUUUUUUCUUUUUUUUUGUUUUUUUUUAUUAAUGCCCCAGUUGGCUGUUCUGCUGAUUCUCGAGAUGCAGCUGAGUGUGAUCUUCUUUUCUUGCUCAAGAAGUCGGGAAAU